rnacentral:snoRNA from 23 species
AACGCAUUCAACAGUAGGAUCAUUUCUAUAGGAAUCGUCACUCUUUGACUCUUCAAAAGAGCCACUGAAUCCAACUUGGUUGAUGAGCCCCAUAACCUUUGUACCCUAGAGUGAGGAAAUGAAAUUAAAUCUAAAUUAGCUUGGUCCGCAAUCCUUAGCGGUUCGGCCAUCUAUAAUUUUGAAUAAAAAUUUUGCUUUGCCGUUGCAUUUGUAAUUUUUUCCUUUGGAAGUUAUUACGAUAUUUAAUGGCGCGAUGAUCUUGACCCAUCCUAUGUACUUCCUUUUUGGAAGGGAUAGGACUUCAUGGGUGGGUACAAACGGCAGUCUGACAAGU